UCAGGGCUUUGGUUGUUAUAGUGGUUUUAUUGACCAAAAGAGAAACCGUAAUAAACGGUCUGGAGAUGGACAUAUGAGGGGACAAAGUCAUAACACCCGAGGCCGACCCCUCGCUAGGCCUUAGGUGCUGCAGUUUCCCUGUACUUUAGGGCAGGCUUUACAGUGGUGCCCCCUCUUCCCACAAUAAAGGCAUAACCCCUCCCUUCUACGGUAUGCUCUUUUGGUCUCAGUUAACC